rnacentral:lncRNA from 1 species
CGGCAGGCCCGGGUGGGCAGAGUGGCAGCCUGGACGGGUCCAGCCUUCUCGCAGCCUCUGCCAGUCCCCAGGUGUCUGGGGCUGCUGAGGGACACUGAAUGGGGCAGCAGGAAUAGGAGGGGCCACAUUCGGGGUUCCGAAGCCAGUCAGGGAGGACCUGGGAAGCUGCCAGAGGCACCUCAGUGGGGAGGAGGGCGCGAGACAGAUGAAUGACGGGCAAAUGACAGGGGCAACAACCUGCAACUACGUGGCCUCGUGAUGUGGAUCCACCGCAGCAUGGAGCGGGGUCUGCAUCAGGAAAGACACUCCUCUUCCCCUGGCCGCAGCUUCCAGCUCCUCCAUGGGGAGGCCCAGAGUGCAGCGGGAGGGUGUUCGCUGCCGAAGCCUGCACCAGCCACCAUCAUCCGCCCUCCCGCGCCCUGCCCCGCUCCGCCAGGCACUGCCAAGUGAUGUGCUCGGGCCUCUCCUGCCUCCUGGUCCCAAGACCAUCGUGCAUACCAGAAUCUCAGCAUUCCCCUUCGCAUGACUCAGAUUAGGUCACCUGGGCCCACCGAACAGUCCAUCCUUCCACAGCCCCAUUCCAGGGAAAGCAGAAGUUCUUCCAGGGGCAGAAGGAGGGAGACAGGACUGCUGAAUUAGAACUUGAGCCAUAAAAUGUAUUCGUCCAGCUCCACAGAACCUUCCCCCUGAGCUACCCAUGCCUUCCCACUCCAGAGGCUUCCCACCUGCAGUUCCCCCAGCACAGAGUGCCCUUCAUCAUCUCCAGCUGGGACUGGAUUGCUGACUGCCCAGGUCCAGUCAUGCUCUUAUCCCCUCUAGGGACACUAAGGAAGGACGUCCAAGCAGAGAGACAGCAUAUAGAAAGUCCCCUUAUAAAAGAAGGGGCUGGACUGGGCCCAGUGGCUCAUGCCUGUAAUCCCAGCACUUUGGGAGGCCAAGGCAAGCGGAUCAUCUAAGGUCAGGUGUUCGAGACCAACCUGGCCAACACAGUGAAACACUGUCUCUACUAAAAAUACAAAAAUUAGCUGGACAUGGUGGCGGGCACCUGUAAUCCCAAGCUACUCAGAAGGCUGAGGCACAAGAAUCUCUUAAACCCAGGAGACGGAGGUUGCAGUGAGCUGAGAUUACGUUAUUGCACUCCAGCCUGGGCGACAGAAUGAG